rnacentral:rRNA from 1 species
GAUUAACGCUGGCGGCGUGCAUAACACAUGCAAGUCGAACGAUGAAACUUAAAUGAUUUCUUCGGAAUGAACUUAAGUGGAUUAGUGGCGGACGGGUGAGUAACGCGUGAGUAACCUGCCUUACACAAGGGGAUAGCCGUUGGAAACGACGAAUAAUACCCUAUGAAACUAUCACUUCGCAUGAAGCGAUAGUCAAAGUGUUAGCGGUGUAAGAUGGACUUGCGUCUGAUUAGCUAGUUGGGGAGAAAAAAGCCCCCCAAGGCAACGAUCAGUAGCCGGCUUGAGAGAGUGUACGGCCACAUUGGGACUGGGACACGGCCCAGACUCCUACGGGAGGCAGCAGUGGGGAAUUUUGCACAAUGGGGGAAACCCUGAUGCAGCGACGCCGCGUGAUUUAGAAGGCCUUCGGGUUGUAAAAAUCUUUUGUAUAGGAAGAAAAUGACAGUACUAUACGAAUAAGGUCCGGCUAAUUACGUG